GGGAAACCCUUCUCCUUCAACUACAAUCAAGAACUCAAGAAUUGAACCUGAAUUUGGGGAGAAAUCGGAUGCAUGAGCUUAUAAUCUUAAUCAUCUAGACAAGAUGAACAUGUGGAAUCACGUCGUGACGGACUCAAGCAUGAAAGGAUAACGGGUCAAGAAGAGGAGAGGAAUCGGAUACGAGCACGGACGCAUAAGGUUGUGCGGGUCACGGAGGAUCAUCAAGGAAUAAAGAUCGAAG